rnacentral:lncRNA from 1 species
UGGUUUAUACCGUAUGGACCCAGGACGUACUUAUCUGCCUGGUUCGAGAGCAGGGAGUWASKKUCUGUUCAUUUGUCAAGGUGGAUCUUUGAAAGCUGGCUGCUGAGUAAAGGAUGUAUGAAAUGUGUUUUAAAACUAAAUCAGUGUAGCCUGGAUUGGGUGGACAAAUAUGAGUGGAUACAAUUCAGUUCUUCUGAACUACGUAGUGACACUUGUGCGUUGCUGUCACGUGUGGCGUGUUACCGACUCACUCUGGUUUACUUAAUAUAUUGAAUUAUAUACUUCUAAACCUGAAUGUUAGUAAUUUCUAUUAAAGAUACCCUUAUAA